rnacentral:rRNA from 1 species
CUCGUAGGCGGUUCGUCGCGUCCGGUGUGAAAGUCCAUCGCUUAACGGUGGAUCCGCGCCGGGUACGGGCGGGCUUGAGUGCGGUAGGGGAGACUGGAAUUCCCGGUGUAACGGUGGAAUGUGUAGAUAUCGGGAAGAACACCAAUGGCGAGGGCAGGUCUCUGGGCCGUCACUGACGCUGAGGAGCGAAAGCGUGGGGAGCGAACA